AUUCGAUUCUCCUGAAACGGGUGUAAUGCCGGAUGCUCCAGUUGGAUGCAUGUCCUUCUGGGAAAGAUUUCAUCGGUAUGGGAUGGGGUCGCGUCCUAUCAGGUAGUCGGCGGGGUAACGGCCCACCGAGCCUACGACGGGUAGCCGGCCUGAGAGGGCGACCGGCCACAUUGGGACUGAGAUACGGCCCAGACUCCUACGGGAGGCAGCAGUGGGGAAUAUUGCACAAUGGGCGCAAGCCUGAUGCAGCGACGCCGCGUGCGGGAUGACGGCCUUCGGGUUGUAAACCGCUUUUGAUCGGGAGCAAGCCUUCGGGUGAGUGUACCUUUCGAAUAAGCACCGGCUAACUACGUGCCAGCAGCCGCGGUAAUACGUAGGGUGCAAGCGUUAUCCGGAAUUAUUGGGCGUAAAGGGCUCGUAGGCGGUUCGUCGCGUCCGGUGUGAAAGUCCAUCGCUUAACGGUGGAUCCGCGCCGGGUACGGGCGGGCUUGAGUGCGGUAGGGGAGACUGGAAUUCCCGGUGUAACGGUGGAAUGUGUAGAUAUCGGGAAGAACACCAAUCACUAGUG
rnacentral:rRNA from 1 species